CGUCGUCGCCCUACUCUCUCACGCUCCAGCGCCGCCGCCCACCCCUUCGAUCUUCCUCUAGUGCUGCUCCCCUACCCUUCGAGCUCCCUCCAAGCUAUCGUCGGGACAUGACACCACCGCUCAUCAAGCGUCACCGCUCUGUCCUUCAAGCUCCCUCCAGCACUGCCGCUGCUUCCCAUCAGAUCGACGCCUACUCUCCCGAGAAAUCAGUCCGGCUCAGGAGCACACAAACAACUCCGGGUUCAUCGGCGGUGGCAUGUGGACACCACCAGCGAGGAGCCUAGAACGACGCUGGCUACGUGCGUGCGGGACUAGACGAUUCACAUGGCCGCCGGUUUGUUCCGGUCCUUCCCUCCGUUCCCGUUGCCCAGCGCCCACAUCAACUGCAGUCAGCCUCCAGGCGCCACCGCCGCCCCAGGCUCCGACGCGCCGGGCGCGUCCUCUUCCUCCUUUGGCUCGCUGAGGUUGUCACCAGUAGAAAAAAGCUUAAAAACUACAA